rnacentral:snRNA from 1 species
UUGCUUUGGCAGUACAUAUACUAAAAUUGGAAUAAUACAGAGAAGAUUAGCAUGGCCCCUGUGCAAGGAUGACAUGCAAAUUUGUGAAGCGUUCCAUAUUUUU